rnacentral:ncRNA from 1 species
AUACAUUCCGUGACGGGAAAGAGUACGUUAUGAUUCUGAUCUACAGAGAGUUGGAUAAGGUGCAAGCCAACGUUCAGGAUAUAGCCGAAGCCAUCCCCGAGAAGCAGGCUGAACAUUACAGUAGGUGCUGCCGCAUUUCCAGCGUUAACGGGAACACGUAUUGAUAGAUACGUUGCAGAGUGCCGCUUUGUCAUAAAGCGGAACCAGGGUGGUAACACGGGCAGAGCUCGUCCCUUUU